rnacentral:rRNA from 1 species
AUGGCUCAGGACGAACGCUGGCGGCGUGCCUAACACAUGCAAGUCGAACGGACGAGGGGAGCUUGCUCCCCAAGUUAGUGGCGGACGGGUGAGUAACACGUGAGCAACCUGCCCUUCGAGGGGGACAACAGCCGGAAACGGCUGCUAAUACCGCAUGACAUAUCCUUGAGGCAUCUCGGGGAUAUCAAAGAUUUAUCGCCGAAGGAUGGGCUCGCGUCUGAUUAGCUGGUUGGUGAGGUAACGGCUCACCAAGGCGACGAUCAGUAGCCGGACUGAGAGGUUGAACGGCCACAUUGGGACUGAGAUACGGCCCAGACUCCUACGGGAGGCAGCAGUGGGGAAUAUUGGGCAAUGGGGGGCAACCCUGACCCAGCAACGCCGCGUGAAGGAAGAAGGCUUUCGGGUUGUAAACUUCUUUGACGAGGGACGAUAAUGACGGUACCUCGAAAACAAGCCACGGCUAACUACGUGCCAGCAGCCGC